rnacentral:rRNA from 1 species
UACGUAGGGUGCAAGCGUUAAUCGGAAUUACUGGGCGUAAGCGUGCGCAGGCGGUUAUGCAAGACAGAGGUGAAAUCCCCGGGCUCAACCCGGGAACUGCGUCCGAUACUGGAAGGCUUGAAUCCGGGAGAGGGAUGCGGAAUUCCAGGUGUAGCGGUGAAAUGCGUAGAUAUCAGGAGGAACACCGGUGGCGAAAGCAGCUCUCUGGGACGGUACUGACGCUGAGACGCGAAAGCGUGGGGAGCGAACAGG